UCUAGGAUACAAAGUGUCAAAAACAACCGUUAUAGUAACCUGCAUGAAUGUAGCACAUCAUGGUUGAGUUACAAGCAUAGUAUCCUCUACACAAGGAAGAAACCCUUUUUCUCUGGUUGACAUGAAUUUGCCAGACUGCAUCUGAGCAACAGCAGAACCAGACUUGGAAACUGAGCUUUCUGUGUGAUGAUUGGAGUUAAAAAGGAGAAACACUGACCUGCCCACUGUGGAAUAUGGUGUUCAAGUGGAUUGAGGUCUGGAGAUGAUAGGCUUCCGGGAACACAUGAGGCUGAUCACAGGAACACACGCUCCCUCAUAGGAUCCCAUUUGGAAUCGGGAAGAAAUGACUAUUCCUGAUGCUCCGAGUGACCCCCAGCUGUUUCAGGAAUCGUGUUUCGGGAACCUGUCGAAUUUGGCAAGUUUCAUGCUGCUACUAGAGAUCAAGUGAGGAAUAAAUGCAUGAUGUCAGUAAGUCACAGGUGGAGGUAUAUCUGACCAAUGAUAUUGCUUAACUGUCAGAAGCUAAGGUCAUUUAAAAUCAC